rnacentral:rRNA from 1 species
AUAUUGGACAAUGGGGGAAACCCUGAUCCAGCAAUGCCGCGUGUGUGAAGAAGGCCUGAGGGUUGUAAAGCACUUUCAGUGGGGAGGAGUAAUGAUUGGUUAAGAGCUGAUGAUUAGGACGUUACCCACAGAAGAAGCACCGGCUAACUCCGUGCCAGCAGCCGCGGUAAUACGGAGGGUGCGAGCGUUAAUCGGAAUUACUGGGCGUAAAGCGUGCGUAGGUGGUUUGAUAAGUUAUCUGUGAAAUUCCUGGGCUUAACCUGGGCAGGUCAGAUAAUACUGUGAGACUAGAGUAUGGGAGAGGGUAGUGGAAUUUCCGGUGUAGCGGUGAAAUGCGUAGAGAUCGGAAGGAACACCAGUGGCGAAGGCGGCUACCUGGCCUAAUACUGACACUGAGGCACGAAAGCGUGGGGAGCAAACA